rnacentral:rRNA from 1 species
CGAACCUAAAGGCGAAAUGAAAGUGAAGGCGCGCCUCGCGCGCGCCGAGGGCGGAUGGGCGGCGGCUCGCCGCCGCCCCGCACGCCCGGGGCGUCCGAUUCUCAUUGCGAGUACGGGCGCACCUAGAGCGUACACGCUGGGACCCGAAAGAUGGUGAACUAUGCCUGGUCAGGACGAAGUCAGGGGAAACCCUGAUGGAGGUCCGUAGCGAUUCUGACGUGCAAAUCGAUCGUCGGAACUGGGUAUAGGGGCGAAAGACUAAUCGAACCAUCUAGUAGCUGGUUCCCUCCGAAGUUUCCCUCAGGAUAGCUGGCGCUCGCUGUGUGCGAGUCUCAUCCGGUAAAGCGAAUGAUUAGAGGCAUUGGGGUCGAAACGGCCUCAACCUAUUCUCAAACUUUAAAUGGGUGAGAUCUCCGGCUUGCUCGAACGUGAAGCCGCGAGACCUCGGAUCAGAGUGCCAAGUGGGCCACUUUUGGUAAGCAGAACUGGCGCUGUGGGAUGAACCAAACGCCGAGUUAAAGCGCCCAAAUCGACGCUUAUGGGAUACCAUGAAAGGCGUUG